UGGGCCGAUCGCCUUGAGUUGAUAUGGCUCGGACGAACGCUGGCGGCGCGCCUAACACAUGCAAGUCGAGCGAGAACCGGUCCUUCGGGGCCGGGGACAGCGGCGAACGGGUGAGUAACACGUGGGUAAUCUGCCCUCGGCACCGGGAUAGCCCGGGGAAACCCGGAUUAAUACCGGAUGGCCUUUCGGGUCUUCGGACUCGAAUGAAAAGGUAGCUUCGGCCUCCGGCCGAGGAUGAGCCCGCGGCCGAUUAGCUUGUUGGUGAGGUAACGGCUCACCAAGGCUCCGAUCGGUAGCUGGUCUGAGAGGACGAUCAGCCACACUGGGACUGAGACACGGCCCAGACUCCUACGGGAGGCAGCAGUGGGGAAUCUUGCGCAAUGGGCGAAAGCCUGACGCAGCGACGCCGUGUGCGGGAAGAAGGCCUUCGGGUUGUAAACCGCUUUCAGGAGGGACGAAGCCACUCGGGUUAAUAGCCCAGAGGGUGACGGUACCUCCAGAAGAAGCCCCGGCUAACUACGUGCCAGCAGCCGCGGUAAUACGUAGGGGGCUAGCGUUGUCCGGAUUUAUUGGGCGUAAAGAGCGUGUAGGCGGCCAGGUAGGUCCGGUGUGAAAACUCGAGGCUCAACCUCGAGAUGUCAUCGGAAACCAUCUGGCUAGAGUCCGGAAGAGGAGAGUGGAAUUCCUGGUGUAGCGGUGAAAUGCGCAGAUAUCAGGAAGACACCUAUGGCGNAGCAGCUCUCUGGGANGUACUGACGCUGA
rnacentral:rRNA from 1 species